rnacentral:rRNA from 1 species
CUUCCGUAGGGGAACCUGCGGAAGGAUCAUUAAAUAAUCAAUAAUCUUGGCUUGUCCAUUAUUAUCUAUUUACUGUGAACUGUAUUAUUAUUUGACAUUUGAGGGAUGUUCCAAUGUUAUAAGGAUAGACAUUGGAAAUGUUAACCGAGUCAUAAUCAGGUUUAGGCCUGGUAUCCUAUUAUUAUUUACCAAAUGAAUUCAGAAUUAAUAUUGUAACAUAGACCUAAAAAAUCUAUAAAACAACUUUUAACAACGGAUCUCUUGGUUCUCGCAUCGAUGAAGAACGUAGCAAAGUGCGAUAACUAGUGUGAAUUGCAUAUUCAGUGAAUCAUCGAGUCUUUGAACGCAACUUGCGCUCAUUGGUAUUCCAAUGAGCACGCCUGUUUCAGUAUCAAAACAAACCCUCUAUCCAACUUUUGUUGUAUAGGAUUAUUGGGGGCCUCUCGAUCUGUAUAGAUCUUGAAAUCCCUGAAAUUUACUAAGGCCUGAACUUGUUUAAAUGCCUGAACUUUUUUUUAAUAUAAAGGAAAGCUCUUGUAAUUGACUUUGAUGGGGCCUCCCAAAUAAAUCUCUUUUAAAUUUGAUCUGAAAUCAGGCGGGAUUACCCGCUGAACUUAAGCAUAUCAAUAAG